AAUUUCCCCUGUACUUUUCAAGUUUAAUGCAAACAAAAUUGCUACACAUUAGCUUUGAACAAUUUGCAUUGGAAAGUAUUUAUCAUUUUUUGUGACCUUAAUAUUGUGUGCGCCACAUGUUCAUGUUUUAUAUUUAUAUAUGACAAUAGUCAGCUUAAAACGACCGGCAAUAUUUUGAUUGUUAUUUAGAACAACUGCAGUUAUUUUGACCAUGCCAAGAUUGAAUAAUCACCCCAACUAAUAACCUAA
rnacentral:lncRNA from 1 species